GAUGAACGCUGGCGGCGUGCCUAAUACAUGCAAGUCGAGCGAACAGACGAGGAGCUUGCUCCUCUGACGUUAGCGGCGGACGGGUGAGUAACACGUGGAUAACCUACCUAUAAGACUGGGAUAACUUCGGGAAACCGGAGCUAAUACCGGAUAAUAUAUUGAACCGCAUGGUUCAAUAGAGAAAGACGGUUUUGCUGUCACUUCUAGAUGGAUCCGCGCCGCAUUAGCUAGUUGGUAAGGUAACGGCUUACCAAGGCAACGAUGCGUAGCCGACCCGAGAGGGUGAUCGGCCACACUGGAACUGAGACACGGUCCAGGCUCCUACGGGAGGCAGCAGUAGGGAAUCUUCCGCAAUGGGCGAAAGCCUGACGGAGCAACGCCGCGUGAGUGAUGAAGGUCUUCGGAUCGUAAAACUCUGUUAUUAGGGAAGAACAAAUGUGUAAGUAACUAUGCACGUCUUGACGGUACCUAAUCAGAAAGCCACGGCUAACUACGUG
rnacentral:rRNA from 1 species